UGCCGGAAACUCUGAAAAAUCCCAAC
rnacentral:piRNA from 1 species